GAAAAAACAAGACUUUACAGCAAAAGAUCAAGAAUUGUGUGUGGGUUUUUGCCAGUUGAUCCAUGGGCACCAAAUGUUGACUCACAGAGCAUAGCUUCACAGCUAUUUGCUUUUUCUCUGUUCCCUUAUGUGGGUUUUUUGUACUUCCUCACCAAAUCCAAGACUGCCCCAAAGCUUACACUUUUUGGGUUUUAUUUCUUGCUUGCUUUUGUGGGUGCCACAAGUAAGCCCCUUCAAUAUUCUCCUAGUAUAUUUAUUGUUCUGUUAUUCUAUUGUUUUAGAGUAUUCAUCAUAUUGUGUCUGUUAGGAAGAACCCCAUUAUUCUUGGUUCCUAUGUUUCUCCAUUUGUCAACUGUUGCCAAACAAAUCCCAGUUUUAGAAAUACUACCAAACAACUCAUCUGUGGUGAAAGUAGAAAACUUUAUACUCCCUCCGUUUCAAUUUGUUUGUUUAGUUUUGGCUUAGCACGGAUAUUAUGGAAGUAAAGAAAAUUUUGAAUCUUGUAGUCUUAAACUAAAAAUACGUAGAAUGUAUUAAAAUGUUGUUUAAUCUUGUACUCUUAAACAUGACAUGUGGAAAGUUGAAACUAAUGAGUUCCCAAAAAGGGAAGAGAUAAUACUUUUGAAACCGAUUAAAAAGGGAAGUAAGACAAAUAAAGUGAAACAAAGAGAGUAUUGAUUAUGCUAGUUUUAAUAGAUUAACAAUUCUCUUCCUAACCAGCAACCAAACGACCCCUUAAGAGUAUUCAUCAUAUUGUGUUUGUUUGGAAGAACCCAUUGUUCUUGGUUUCUAUUCUUUUCCAUUUUUCAACUGUUCCUAAACAAAAAUCAGUUUUAGAAAUACUACCAAACAACUCAACUGUGGUGAAAGUAGAAAACUUUAUAGUAAAAAAGAGCAAGAUUUGUGUGGAUUUUUGCCUGAUGUUCCAUGGGCACCAAAUGUUGACUCACAGAGCAUAGCUUCACAGCUCUUUGCCUUUUUCUCCUCUCCCUUAUGUGGGUUUUUUGUACUUCAUCACCAAAUCCAAAACUGCCCCAAAGCUUACAUUUUUGGGGUUCUACAUCUUGCUUGCUUUUGUGUAGUAAGAGUGAUAAGACCUGCCAAGGUUGGGAUAAGGUCUGCAUACACUCUACCCUCCCCAGAUCCCACUUAUGGAACUAUACUAAGUAUGUUGUUUCUAGGUUCAAAUUCGAUGAGAGCAAUCAUUGAAAUAUGUUCCUU
rnacentral:lncRNA from 1 species